UACGUAGGGUGCAAGCGUUCAUCGGAAUUACUGGGCGUAAAGCGUGCGCAGGCGGUUGUGCAAGACAGAGGUGAAAUCCCCGAGCUUAACUUGGGAACUGCCUUUGUGACUGCAUAGCUAGAGUGUGUCAGAGGGGGGUAGAAUUCCACGUGUAGCAGUGAAAUGCGUAGAGAUGUGGAGGAAUACCGAUGGCGAAGGCAGCCCCCUGGGAUAACACUGACGCUCAUGCACGAAAGCGUGGGGAGCAAACAGG
rnacentral:rRNA from 1 species